GUUUUCAGUCUAAUCUACCAAGGCCAGAUGCACUCUGGAGGUAUUUCUUAAUGGAAUUUUCAGGGGAGUCAAUGCUGUUGUACAGUAGACUAAACAAUUUGAUGACCAGCACAUUCAGAAUAUAUAUUAUGUAACUUCAGAGAACUUGGGAAAUGCAGAGGCUCCUUUCUAAUGCUAAGCAGUAUCUUUGGCCAUCCUUUCUGAAGAAAUAGAAAAAAGAAUUUUGAUGACUUAUUUCCAGUUAGACAAACUGCAGAUGAAUGGCUGCUUGUUUGGAGUGAGAAUGAAGCAAAGGAAGUGAAAUAUGAGAAGGGGUAGAGAUGACAAAGAUGAAGAACCAGAUAAUACCCCAGGAGUGAUGGAGGACUGGACCAGGAAACCAAAAGAAGUGUGCUAAGACGCCAGGGAUUUUACUGGAAGGUAGAUGGGCAAAUUCACUGGAGCGCCUUAAAACAGGAAGAGGAAAGAAAGCCAGUUUCGAGGGACUCCAUGAUUCUUCUUCAAGUCUGUGUUUAGACUUAUCAUGCUGGAGCAGCGAGCGGCGGCUGAGCAGCAAGUGGCAGCUGCGCAGCACUGGAGCGGCAAGCAGCCGAGAGGAGAUACCCCACGUCCAAGCUGGUAAAGAAUCCACCUGCAGUGAGGGAGACCUGGGUUCAAUCCCUGGAUUGGGAAGAUCUCCUGGAGAAGGGAAAGGGUACCCACUCCAAUAUUCUGGCCUGGAGAAUUCCAUGGACUGUAUAAUCCAAGGGGUUGCAAGGAGUUGGACACGACAGUGACUUCUACUUCACUUUCAAUGCUAACUCAGCCCAUACUAAAUGUUCUGCUUCAGGCAAAGAUAUUUUCUCUUCACUUUUAAAAUUGAGCAAAAAUAAAUUAUUAAGUGUAAUUUCUCAAAUUAUGCAAAAUGUUCAUUAUCACUUUAAAAAUAUCAUGUCAGUGUCAUUGCAAGUUUAAGAUUCUACAUAAUUGUUCUCUCUGAAUGCAGAAAGGAGAAAAUGAUUUGUUAAGGUGCUGUUGAACACGUGAAAAUUUGUUGCCCUUGCCAAUUUAAAUCUAUUGAAUGACCUGUAUGGGACUUGUAUUACUGCAGCCCAGAUGAAGUUCUGAACAUCAGUUGAGUAUAUUCUUUUAAAUUUAACUUCCUUUUAUUUUUACCUAAAUGGCAUGAGAAAUCCUGAUAAAGCAGAAAGGACUCCUGAAGGUGAAUAUAUUUUGACUUUAAUUUAAAAUGCUAUUAAUAACCAUCAUCUAUUGCAUGGUGAUGUAUGCUAAGAAAUGUGCAUUAUUUCAUUUAACCUCAACACUCUAAGGCAGUGUAUCUGAAAGAUUAAAAAACUGUAGUUGCUAUGUCAUCAUCACACCUAAUUUUUUUAAACUUUUAUUUUUUAAAGGAAUUAAAUAUCCUGUGUUUGAACUUCCCUAAUUUCUAUAUACAAUUUGUUUGAAUCAGAAUCAGAACACUAACCACAAGUGGCAAUUGAUUGAUAUGCUUUUACAUCUAUUUACUCUAUAAACCCACUUCUUUUUCCUUUCAAAUAUUAUAUUAAAAAGUAAUUUUUUUGGCGGACUCUUCUACAAGAUGUACUUGGCUAAUUGUGUCCACACAGUGUUGUUAAUUAUGUUCCUUUGUCUUCCCUGUGGCAGGGCAACUGAUAGAUUGAUACAGGCUGGAUCAGCUUCAGGUUUGACUUUUUUGCAAGACUGCUUUAUAGGCAAUGAGGAGCCUGGCUUUUCUGGGUCCACUUGCUUUGACACAGCCUUUCGUUGUGAUGCAUAUAUUGACUUUAAUGAUUUUGCUAUAUUGUAUCCUAUUCCUGCAAUAAAUUUUGGAUUUAUAAGUAGUGCCCUUUUGGGUCAUG